GUGAAUCAUCGAAUCUUUGAACGCACCUUGCGCUCGCUGGUAUUCCGGCGAGCAUGCCUGUUUGAGUGUCAUGAACUCUUCAACCCUUCGGUUCCUUGUUGAACUCGUGAGGUGUUUGGAUUUUGAGCGGUUGCUGGUCUUUUCGGAGAUGAAGCUCGUUCGUAAUACAUUAGCAAACUAAACCUGAAUUGUUCGGAUUGACUCGGCGUAAUAGACUUUAUUCGCUGAGGACACCUCUAGUGGGUGGCCGAAUAUCGAGAUAUAGUAGCUUCUAACUCUACAAUUUGAAGUCAAAUUUAUAAGAUUAGACCUCAGAUCAGGCAGGACUACCCGCUGAACUUAA
rnacentral:rRNA from 1 species